rnacentral:rRNA from 1 species
CUGCGGAGGGAUCAUUACUGAGUUUACGCUCUACAACCCUUUGUGAACAUACCUAUAACUGUUGCUUCGGCGGGUAGGGUCUCCGCGACCCUCCCGGCCUCCCGCCUCCGGGCGGGUCGGCGCCCGCCGGAGGAUAACCAAACUCUGAUUUAACGACGUUUCUUCUGAGUGGUACAAGCAAAUAAUCAAAACUUUUAACAACGGAUCUCUUGGUUCUGGCAUCGAUGAAGAACGCAGCGAAAUGCGAUAAGUAAUGUGAAUUGCAGAAUUCAGUGAAUCAUCGAAUCUUUGAACGCACAUUGCGCCCGCCAGCAUUCUGGCGGGCAUGCCUGUUCGAGCGUCAUUUCAACCCUCAAGCUCUGCUUGGUGUUGGGGCCCUACAGCUGAUGUAGGCCCUCAAAGGUAGUGGCGGACCCUCUCGGAGCCUCCUUUGCGUAGUAACUUUACGUCUCGCACUGGGAUCCGGAGGGACUCUUGCCGUAAAACCCCCAAUUUUCCAAAGGUUGACCUCGGAUCAGGUAGGAAUACCCGCUGAACUUAAGCAUAUCAAAA